AUUAAAAAAGGGAAUGGGACUUCCCUGUUAUAAACCGCUGAAAAAAGCUGAUAGUUCCUGUUGAGAG
rnacentral:ncRNA from 2 species